GCCUUUUCUUGAAAGCGACGAGUGGACUGUUCCGGAUGGUGUCAGCACGAAGGCAAGGCUUCUGUUAGAGAAAAUAACACUGACGCCACUUGAAGCACAGGACCUUGAGAAGAACUCGCGGAGGCAGCGCGACAGUGCUACCUGGCUUCAGGCAAGGCAGUACCGCCUGACUGCAUCGAACUUUGGCACCGUACAUCGUCACGGCGAGUGGACAGAGAAGGGACUGGCAAACCUGACCUCAACAAAGGAUUUGUCCAGGGUUCCUGCCAUCCGGUAUGGGAUUGUCAACGAGCCUAAAGCACUGCAACGCUACGAGGAC